AAUCAACGCUGCGGCGUGCCUAACACAUGCAAGUCGAACGAGAAAGCUGGUAGCAAUACCGGUGAGUACAGUGGCGCACGGGUGAGUAACACGUGGAUAACCUGCCUUCAAGUGGGGAAUAACCCUGGGAAACCGGGGCUAAAACCGCAUGACAUCCCGGAACGAUGUUCUGGGAUUGAAAUUCGCAAGAAGCUUGAAGAGGGGUCCGCGGCUGAUUAGCGAGUUGGUGAGGGAACGGCCCACCAAGGCUUUGAUCGGUAGCCGGCCAGAGAGGGCGGACGGCCAAACUGGAACUGAAACACGGUCCAGACUCCUACGGGAGGCAGCAGUGGGGAAUUUUGCGCAAUGGGGGAAACCCUGACGCAGCAACGCCGCGUGGACGAUGAAGCUUCUUGGAGUGUAAAGUCCUUUCGGCAGGGACGAAUAAAUUGACGGUACCUGCAGAAGAAGCCCCGGCUAACUUCGUGCCAGCCGCCGCCGUAACAC
rnacentral:rRNA from 1 species